rnacentral:rRNA from 1 species
UGCCAGACUCCUACGGGAGGCAGCAGUGGGGAAUAUUGGGCAAUGGGCGCAAGCCUGACCCAGCAACGCCGCGUGAAGGAAGAAGGCUUUCGGGUUGUAAACUUCUUUUAAGAGGGAAGAGUAGAAGACGGUACCUCUUGAAUAAGCCACGGCUAACUACGUGCCAGCAGCCGCGGUAAUACGUAGGGGGCAAGCGUUAUCCGGAUUCACUGGGUGUAAAGGGAGCGUAGACGGCCAUGCAAGCCUGGAGUGAAAGCCCGGGGCCCAACCCCGGGACUGCUCUGGGAACUGUGCGGCUGGAGUGCGGGAGGGGCAGGCGGAAUUCCUGGUGUAGCGGUGAAAUGCGUAGAUAUCAGGAGGAACACCGGCGGCGAAGGCGGCCUGCUGGACCGCGACUGACGUUGAGGCUCGAAAGCGUGGGGAGCAAACAGGAUUAGAUACCCCAGUAA